rnacentral:rRNA from 1 species
GACGAACGCUGGCGGCGUGCUUAACACAUGCAAGCCGAACGGAAAGGCCUGCUUUCCCUUGUGGAUUGCGGGUACUCGAGUGGCGAACGGGUGAGUAACACGUGAGUGAUCUGCCCCCAACUUGGGUAUAAGCCUGGGAAACUGGGUCUAAUUCCCGAUAGGACUGCAGGGUGGUGCCUGUGGUGGAAAACGAUUUUCUAGUGGUUGGGGAUGAGCUCGCGGCCUAUCAGCUUGUUGGUGGGGUAAUGGCCUACCAAGGCGGCGACGGGUAGCCGGCCUGGGAGGGUGGACGGCCACAUUGGGACUGGGAUACGGCCCAGACUCCUACGGGAGGCAGCAGUGGGGAAUAUUGCACAAUGGGCGGAAGCCUGAUGCAGCGACGCCGCGUGGGGGAUGACGGCCUUCGGGUUGUAAACUCCUUUCGACCGCGAGGAAGCCACCUGGUUGGAAGGGUGGUGACGGUAGUGGUAGAAGAAGCACCGGCUAACUACGUG